GCGGGAGUGGCGUAACUGGCAGACGCGCACGUUUGAGGGGCGUGUGGGUAACUCCGUACGGGUUCAAGUCCCGUCUUCCGCACCA
rnacentral:tRNA from 1 species